rnacentral:lncRNA from 1 species
AAAUGAAGACACAGAAGCACAGAGGAGGGAGUAAGCAAUUUACCCAAGGUCACCCAGGCGAUAAGUGGCAAAGCCUGGAUUUGAACGAGGUGAUCUUGCUCCAGAGCUGGGCUUUACCCACCCCACUGCCCUGCCUUGAGGGAGGGAGGAGGAGUUAAGGGUUAUUUUGCCAGCCACCUUUUUGGGAAGCACCCCUUCCCUGGAGCUAUUUGUCGGCUCCAAAUCCUUUCUGAUUCACCUCUGCCUCCCCAGAAAAGGUGUUUCAAUACUCCUUGUGCAGACAAAGGGAAUGAGGCACAGAGAGGCGAGGUGACUAGCCCAAGGCACACAGCUGGCAAGUCAUGGGGCUGGGACUCAAGCCCAGGCUAUGGCCUCGCAGCUGCUCCGCCUCAGCAGCAAGGGCUGGCUCUGUCUAUCCUUUCUCCAGGUCCUAGGGAAGAGGAUGGGAUGCAAAGGAGGUUGUUUAUCCAGGAUUGAAACUGAUGAGACACUGCAGUGUGUAGGCCAAGAGGCAGACGGGCCCGGGUACACGACCGAGCAAGUCACUCAGUAUCUCUGAACCUCAGUUUCUUCUUCUAUAAAAUGCAGACAAUGAAAGGAGCCCCCAGCCCGUGUGGUUAUUGUGACAAUGAACUGAGAAUAUAUCCAAGGCACACAGCAAGGGCAGCACGCAUGGGGAUAGGCAGAGUGGCCGCCACUUUUUGUGCCAGACCUCGGGCCCCCAGGCCCAACUGCUGGUUUAGCUCAGCCCAGGGACUCGCCGAGCCGGGGCCCCAGCCCCUGCCUCCCUCUGCCAGGCAGGCCUGGCCUGUCACGCAUAAGCUGCCAAUCCCUCCGAGACCUCUGCCCGCAACAGCAACAAUAAGGGAAGAUUAUCAGCAGAAACACCCGGUGAUUUGGCUUAGCAGCUUCUGGGAAACCGAUCAGAGGAAGAAAUUGAAUUGGACUUGGCUGGCUUGACAGAUAUACUGGCUGUGGGGCUUGGGUGCCAAGUGACUCAACUGGCAGAAGGUCAUGGGUGAGGGCGGCACUCCCACAGGCUGGGCUGGGUGUGUCUCCCUGGGGGUCUGACUGCUUUGCCUGCAGAGGCCCCUGCACAGCACAGCACUGGUUGGCCAAGAGACCCCAGUCUCCGAGGCGGGGAGGCUGUGGCUGGGGGAAGUUCUCCAGGGCUCCUAGGGAAAACAGCUGUGAGGACCAGCAGGCAAAGGGGUAGAGCAUGGAGUGGAAGUGACAACAGCAGAGGCACAGAGUCCAGGGAAAGGUUUCUGAGCCAUCCAGGGGAUUUGCUUUCUUCUGCUGAUGGGAGAGAUGGAAUAAAACCUGCCUGCUGGAGGGGGAAGCAGAAGGGACCCAUGGCUGACAGCAUACAUCCUCCACGCACUCAGUGGGGAAUGAAGCUGCCACUGCCCCAAGACACAGGCUGGAGACAAGGCAGUUUUGGCCAAACCCUCUUCAACUCCAGUAGCUGGGAAAGAGCUGGCCACCCCUGGUAGUGAGGAAUGGGGUGCAAGAGCCAGGAAGACUCAGGUGAAAAGCCACGCUCCAUCUGUGGCAAUGUGAACAGGAGUAAGGGACUCGAGCUCCACGGGCCACCAUCUCCUUGCUUAUGUAAUGGGGUGGUUUCUUUCUGACUGCCCUGCAUGGAAGCCAGCACUAAACUAAGUACAAGAGAUGCAGCAGACAACAAGAACAUCCAGCCCACGUCCUCAUGGUGCUGACAGCCUAGCUGGAGGGGACAGUGACCAAGUGAUCUCUGAAGGGCCCAGCACAGAGGUCCCCAUGCUGACCGUAAGCCACCGAUGGGGUGAUACUGUACACAGACAGUGUACAUUUGAAAGAACUCCCAAGGGGGUCAGACUUGGCCCAGCCCGGAAGCCUGCAUGUGCUGUUCUUCCUAUCUGGGUGCCUCUCUCUCUCUUCCUGUCCAUGGUUAACAUUUUCAUUAUGGCUGACAAAGAGCUUUACUUCUCAUCCCCCAUGCCCACAUCCUCCACAAAACUAGAUGCCUUCUUCUGGACAGCCUGCUCUGUCUGUCUUUAGCAUCUCAUUGUCAUCCGGUCACCCAAAUACCUCUCACCCAAAGAACCCCAGAAGCAGAACUCACGGCGGCCUGAUGGCACACUGGAUUCUACAAUAGCUUCUCUUUUCAGCAUGUUGGACCUGCCCACAUUAACUUCCCCAUUGUCUUGAUUUCCCCAAGUUACAAACUCUAUAGGCUGUGCCACUGCUGUCUGCAGCUCCCAUGGCACCGAUUCCAGGGCCUCGCACUUAGUAGACACACAGUAAACACUGCCGACUUAACAAGUGAGUUCAUAAUGUGACCGCUAAGCUAGCUCUCGGAAAGGAUGUAGUGGGGAGGCCAGAAUGGACACUGAGAGACCCCAGUCAGAGUCAAGGCCCUGCCACAUCUAGCAAGGUACCACCUCCACCAGCUUCACUUUCCCUGUCUCAAAGAUGGGGUAAUGUGGGAGGGACGCUAUCACCGGUGAAAGUUCUUUCAAAUGCAUGGUGCCACUCGAGCCACAUGAUGACCCAGUGAUGUGGUGGUUAAUUCCAAGUUCCUGUCCCACCAGCAGGGGUAUGGCAUGAUCUGCUCACCUACCCUCACCUAUGCUGAACAGGACUUGGGAAAAACACUCAAUAUUUUAAGAGUGUGUUGGCCGGGCACCGUGGCUCAAGCCUGUAAUCCCAGCACUUUGGG